rnacentral:misc_RNA from 1 species
GAUGAAGAACGCAGCGAAAUGCGAUAAUUAAUGUGAAUUGCAGAAUUCCGUGAAUCAUCGAGUCUUUGAACGCACAUUGCGCCCCCUGGUAUUCCGGGGGGCAUGCCUGUCCGAGCGUCAUUUCAACCCUCAAGCCCCCGGGCUUGGUGUUGGGGAUCGGCGAGCCUCCGCGCCCGCCGUCCCCUAAAUCUAGUGGCGGUCUCGCUGUAGCUUCCUCUGCGUAGUAGCACACCUCGCACUGGGAAACAGCGCGGCCACGCCGUUAAACCCCCAACUUCUGAACGUUUGACCUCGGAUCAGGUAGGAAUACCCGCUGAACUUAAGCAUAUCAAUAAGCGGAGGA